rnacentral:rRNA from 1 species
UGGGGAAGUAUUGCACAAUGGGGGAAACCCGUGAUGCAGCGACGCCGCGUGGAGGAAGAAGGUCUUCGGAUUGUAAACUCCUGUUGUUGAGGAAGAUAAUGACGGUACUCAACAAGGAAGUGACGGCUAACUACGUGCCAGCAGCCGCGGUAAAACGUAGGUCACAAGCGUUGUCCGGAAUUACUGGGUGUAAAGGGAGCGCAGGCGGGAAGACAAGUUGGAAGUGAAAUCCAUGGGCUCAACCCAUGAACUGCUUUCAAAACUGUUUUCUUGAGUAGUGCAGAGGUAGGCGGAAUUCCCGGUGUAGCGGUGGAAUGCGUAGAUAUCGGGAGGAACACCAGUGGCGAAGGCGGCCUACUGGGCACCAACUGACGCUGAGGCUCGAAAGUGUGGGUAGCAAACAGGAUUAGAUACCCGUCGU